AGUUCACUUUCUAGUGUUGAGGAAGCAGAAGAAGACGCAAGGGAAGUAGACGCUACAGGGGAAAAUCAAGCAGUUUUAAAACGUAAUUGUUUAAGUAAAGACGCCAAACAAAUUUGUCAAUUUUUUUCCUUACUUACUGCCCCUGUUGUCCUUCAGCCACACAGUAAAGUGUGUCUCUUCCUCCAUUCUCUGGAAAAAACUCCUUUUUUGCCAUAUUUACUGCCCCUGUUUGUCCUUCAGCGACACAAUAGACUGCUUCUUCCUUCAUUCUCUGAGAAAAAGACCCCUUUUUGCCAUAUCAACAGCCAAUAGCAAAGAUUUAAGCCAAAAACACAGGAACUUAGAUGACCAAAUGUUGAUUUCAUUUAUUUAUGACAGAAGACCUCUAUAAAAUCCAAGAAACUUUUUACAGUCAGGACACAAAAAUAAAUUGAAGCAAUUGUGGGAGGAGGUUUCUCAAUUGUUGAGAGGCUUUCUUGUAGAAUAUUUUAAAAAACGGCGGAGAUAUGAUUUUAUGCGGACUAAGAAAAAAGCAUACAUUCCUAGUGAGUCUGAAUGACCACUAACACUCAGCCUUUAUUUAAAUAUUAUAAACUAAUAAAUUCUAAGAAGAAAUUGUUGGAAACUUGGUGGCCUCACAAAAAAUGGAAAGAAAAUAAUAAAGAACUCUUGGAUGAUCACUUAAAGUAUCUACAAUUCAACAAACCUCAUCGUCAGGUGGAAAAAGAAAACGGGUAAAGGUGUCAUCAGUUUGGAAAUACUUUAAGAGGUCAAAUGAUAAUAAGUUAGCUAAAUGUUUAGAGUGUGGACGGGAACAUAAAACCAGCGACAAUACAUCUAAUCUUGCAGAGCAUUUAAAGACACAUCACCCUCCUAUGUAAACUCAAAAUGUGUGUGAAACCUCUGAAGAUGAAUCUGUAAGUAAUGCUACCAACUUCAACAAGUGCUAAAUCUAGUGGAAGGUCUGGAGCAGGAUCGUCAGGAUCUAUAAGUUCAUUUUUUAAAAGAGCUUUACAAUAUGACAGCAACUCUCAAAAGAAAAAACAAAUAGACAAUACUUUGAUAUAAAUGGUGGCUUUAGAUUUUCAGCCAUUUUUAAUUGUU